AGAGUUUGAUCCUGGCUCAGAUUGAACGCUGGCGGCAUGCCUUACACAUGCAAGUCGAACGGUAACAGGUCUUCGGAUGCUGACGAGUGGCGAACGGGUGAGUAAUACAUCGGAACGUGCCCGAUCGUGGGGGAUAACGGAGCGAAAGCUUUGCUAAUACCGCAUACGAUCUACGGAUGAAAGCAGGGGACCGCAAGGCCUUGCGCGGACGGAGCGGCCGAUGGCAGAUUAGGUAGUUGGUGGGAUAAAAGCUUACCAAGCCGACGAUCUGUAGCUGGUCUGAGAGGACGACCAGCCACACUGGGACUGUGACACGGCCCAGACUCCUACGGGAGGCAGCAGUGGGGAAUUUUGGACAAUGGGCGAAAGCCUGAUCCAGCCAUGCCGCGUGCAGGAUGAAGGCCUUCGGGUUGUAAACUGCUUUUGUACGGAACGAAAAGACUCCUUCUAAUAAAGGGGGUCCAUGACGGUACCGUAAGAAUAAGCACCGGCUAACUACGUGCCAGCAGCCGCGGUAAUACGUAGGGUGCAAGCGUUAAUCGGAAUUACUGGGCGUAAAGCGUGCGCAGGCGGUUACAUAAGACAGAUGUGAAAUCCCCGGGCUCAACCUGGGAACUGCAUUUGUGACUGUAUAGCUAGAGUACGGUAGAGGGGGAUGGAAUUCCGCGUGUAGCAGUGAAAUGCGUAGAUAUGCGGAGGAACACCGAUGGCGAAGGCAAUCCCCUGGACCUGUACUGACGCUCAUGCACGAAAGCGUGGGGAGCAAACAGGAUUAGAUACCCUGGUAGUCCAA
rnacentral:rRNA from 1 species